GACGAACGCUGGCGGCGUGCUUAACACAUGCAAGUCGAACGGUGAAGCGCCUUCCUUUUUGGUGGGUGUGGAUGAGUGGCGAACGGGUGAGUAACACGUGAGUAACCUGCCCCCUUCUUCUGGAUAACCGCAUGAAAGUGUGGCUAAUACGGGAUAUUCUGGGUCUGUCGCAUGAUGGGUCUGGGAAAGAUAUUGUUUCGGUGGGGGAUGGGCUCGCGGCCUAUCAGCUUGUUGGUGGGGUGAUGGCCUACCAAGGCGGUGACGGGUAGCCGGCCUGAGAGGGUGGACGGUCACACUGGGACUGAGACACGGCCCAGACUCCUACGGGAGGCAGCAGUGGGGAAUAUUGCACAAUGGGCGCAAGCCGGAUGCAGCGACGCCGCGUGAGGGAUGGAGGCCGUCGGGUUGUGAACCUCUUUCGCCAGUGAAGCAGGCCUGCCUCGUUUGUGGGUGGGUUGACGGUAGCUGGAUAAGAAGCGCCGGCUAACUACGU
rnacentral:rRNA from 1 species